AGAAGACCUCGUGUUUUCACGCAUUCAUUAAUUCGAGAAAUUAACGGCUGUCAAAUUACUACAAUAGGUUACGGUUAAUUUGAAAUUGAAAUUGUACCCUGUAUAACGUUAACCCGAGUUACCACCCUACAUUUUGAAGCUGCUUUGAUCAAGCUGCACAUAGCUGCACAUUGUUUAAUUUGAAUCCUAUUCCCAAAUCAUGAUGACUGGAUCAUCAAUAACUACACAGCUAAAAACGAUCAGGUUGUUGCAAUAUUGAUGUAAACAGGAUGAACAAUGUUGUGCUGCCCACUUUCACGUGCACAGUUGUCAACAAUAUUGAACAAUAUUGUUACACCCGAUUCAGGCUCAACAAUAUUGUUCAAUAUUGUUGACCAAUGUGAACAACGUGAGUAGCACAACAUUGUUCAAUCCUGUUAAACAGCAGGUUUUUACGCGUGUUUUUACAUAUGUACUUGCUGACAUCCACGUUGUUAUCAACAAAGUU